GGUUGUGGCUCAGUGGUAGAGCGCUUGUGUAGCACAUGUGAGGCACUGGGUUCGAUCCUCAGCACCA
rnacentral:tRNA from 1 species